rnacentral:rRNA from 1 species
CCCUUAGAUGUUCUGGGCCUCACGCGCGCUACACUGAUGCAUUCAACAAGCCUAGCCUUGACCGAGAGGUCCGGGUAAUCUUUGAAACUGCAUCGUGAUGGGGCUAGAUUAUUGCAAUUAUUAAUCUUCAACGAGGAAUGCCUAGUAAGCGUGAUUCAUCAAAUCGCGUUGAUUACGUCCCUGCCCUUUGUACACACCGCCCGUCGCUCCUACCGAUUGAAUGUGUUGGUGAGGAGCUCGGAUUGGCAGCAGUUGGUGGUUCGCCACCGGCUAUUGCUGAGAAGUCCUCCAAACCGCCCCAUUUAGAGGAAGGAGAAGUCGUAACA